rnacentral:rRNA from 1 species
AGAGCGAACGCCGGCGGCAGGCCUAACACAUGCAAGUCGAGCGCCCGUAGCAAUACGGGAGCGGCAGACGGGAUAGUAACACGUGGGAACGCGCCCUUCGGUUCGGAAUAACUCAGGGAAACUUGAGCUAAUACCGGAUACGCCCUUACGGGGAAAGAUUUAUUGCCGAAGGAACGGCCCGCGUCCGAUUAGCUAGUUGGUGAGGUAAUGGCUCACCAAGGCGACGAUCGGUAGCUGGUCUGAGAGGAUGACCAGCAUCACUGGGACUGAGACACGGCCCAGACUCCUACGGGAGGCAGCAGUGGGGAAUAUUGGACAAUGGGCGCAAGCCUGAUCCAGCCAUGCCGCGUGGAUGAUGAAGGCCUUAGGGUUGUAAAGUCCUUUUAACGGGAAGAUAAUGACGGUACCCGUAGAAUAAGCCCGGCUAACUUCGUGCCAGCAGCCGC